rnacentral:rRNA from 1 species
CUACGGAACUCCUACGGGAGGCAGCAGUGGGGAAUUUUGGACAAUGGGGGAAACCCUGAUCCAGCAAUGCCGCGUGUGCGAAGAAGGCCUUCGGGUUGUAAAGCACUUUUGUCAGGGAAGAAAUCCUUUGGGCUAAUACCCUAGGGGGAUGACGGUACCUGAAGAAUAAGCACCGGCUAACUACGUGCCAGCAGCCGCGGUAAUACGUAGGGUGCAAGCGUUAAUCGGAAUUACUGGGCGUAAAGCGUGCGCAGGCGGUUGUGUAAGACAGGUGUGAAAUCCCCGGGCUUAACCUGGGAAUUGCAUUUGUGACUGCACGACUAGAGUGUGUCAGAGGGGGGUGGAAUUCCACGUGUAGCAGUGAAAUGCGUAGAUAUGUGGAGGAAUACCGAUGGCGAAAGCAGCCCCCUGGGAUAACACUGACGCUCAUGCACGAAAGCGUGGGGAGCAAACAGGAUUAGAUACCCGAGUAGUCCUCUUCGA